UGCGGGGCGCAGCUACCAUGCAGUCGAGCGGUAACAGAUCCAGCUUGCUGGAUGCUGACGAGCGGCGGACGGGUGAGUAAUGCAUAGGAAUCUGCCCGAUAGUGGGGGAUAACCUGGGGAAACCCAGGCUAAUACCGCAUACGUCCUACGGGAGAAAGGGGGCUUCGGCUCCCGCUAUCGGAUGAGCCUAUGUCGGAUUAGCUAGUUGGUGAGGUAACGGCUCACCAAGGCGACGAUCCGUAGCUGGUCUGAGAGGAUGAUCAGCCACAUCGGGACUGAGACACGGCCCGAACUCCUACGGGAGGCAGCAGUGGGGAAUAUUGGACAAUGGGGGGAACCCUGAUCCAGCCAUGCCGCGUGUGUGAAGAAGGCCCUCGGGUUGUAAAGCACUUUCAGCGAGGAAGAACGCCUAGCGGUUAAUACCCGCUAGGAAAGACAUCACUCGCAGAAGAAGCACCGGCUAACUCCGUGCCAGCAGCCGCGGUAAUACGGAGGGUGCAAGCGUUAAUCGGAAUUACUGGGCGUAAAGCGCGCGUAGGUGGCUUGAUAAGCCGGUUGUGAAAGCCCCGGGCUCAACCUGGGAACGGCAUCCGGAACUGUCAAGCUAGAGUGCAGGAGAGGAAGGUAGAAUUCCCGGUGUAGCGGUGAAAUGCGUAGAGAUCGGGAGGAAUACCAGUGGCGAAGGCGGCCUUCUGGACUGACACUGACACUGAGGUGCGAAAGCGUGGGUAGCAAACAGGAUUAGAUACCCGUGGUAGUCAA
rnacentral:rRNA from 1 species